CUGCAGCCAAUUAAGUCCACUUUCUUUCCCCAUAAAGGCUUGGUGUGCAAUGCCUACAGAUAGCAGCCCCCUAUGUGAUAUAUGCAGCCUAUUGCCUGUAUGAAUUUCCCUAAUGGUCCUUGAAGAAAUCU
rnacentral:snoRNA from 1 species